GUCGCCGCCGCCCUGACCCCCCUCCCACCAGCGCGCCGCCGCCCCGAUCCCCCUCCCACCAGCGCGCAGCCGCUGCCCCGACCCCCUCCCACCAGCGCGCCACAGUCACCCCGCCCCCCUCCCACCAGCGUGCCGCCACCGCCUCGACCCCUCUCGCACCAGCACGCUACUGCCGCCGCCCGGACCCCCUCCCACCAGUGCGCCGUUGCUACCUCCUCCCACGCGUUGGCCGCCUCCUUUCCCCACCGCCAUCCGGCUCGCUCCCCCCGUGUCGACCACUAGUCUCCCUUCAGCUCGGCGUCGGCUUCGGUCCAGCUGCACCUGCGACGACCACCUCCUCCAGCCUCCAUCCACCUCUUGCCAAGAUCCCCUUAAGCGAUCCAGCCCCCGUCAAUUCAGUGUGAUCUCUCCCGAAGGCAAGUUUGUGGAGCUGACAAUUCUAUAGGGAAUUACAUGCCAAGAAUCUGAAGGGAUGAAAUAACCUUGGUUAUUACUUGACAUUGGUUCUACUAUAACCGAAGCUGCACGUUGAAAAUUCGGGAUGCAUAAGCUAGCAUAGUUAUGCUUCUGGAGGUUCAACUUUUUCUUGACAAACACACAGCAGAUGUUCCUGUAUUAGUUCGGGUGUCGCCCCUCCGCCUCCUUCUGGUACCCUCAGCGACGCUCCCCGCCACCUUUCUGCAUUGUCCCAGUGGGUGGUCCGACACGGCCGCAUCCAGCGGUCCAACACCGUCAUCGGAGGCCGUUCAAUGUCCCAGCGCCUCCUUCCUAGUAAUCGUGAGGGACGCCCUGCUCGAAAUCUUUCCUCUCCAUCUCCCGACGGUGAACAUUUUCAUGCCCCGUGUUCGAACUGCCAUUUUAUUUUGAAUUGAACUAGGGCUGCUCUUGAUUCAGACCUGGGGGAAGAAGGAAGAACCUCUCUCUUAUAGGCAGUAAUAUUGCUCUCUCAUAUCAUCUCUCAUCUAGUAGGUAGUAAAUAUUUUGAUGAAUGUGUUACUCAAAAAACAAAAUGUUGUAUUGAUAUUCAGUAUCUUAGAGAAACGUUGUUGUGUUCUGGAUGACAAAUAACACAUGUGACAGUAAGUCCAGGUAUUUCUACAUGAGGAGUAAAAAAUUACUUCUACUGAGAGUUCACUUGAAUCCUUGAUAGCUACUGACCAUAGGAACUUAACCUAGAAAAAAUGUGCAAAAAGGAACCAUUUUGUAUUACCAUUAGUCGUCGAUUCUGUGUAAUGUUUUAUUUUUUUGCUACCCUAGCAUUGAAUUAGCACAUCAUUUUCAAAGAGUUGCACUCUCAUUAUUUAUUUCUUGUACUGUUAAUUUUAUUUUCAGAAGCGAACUUGUACAGGGUACAUGAGUUCCAAUAGUAGCUUCCGUUGCAUUUUUUUACAUAAUCAAGCAUUCUUGCUGUGUUGCCUUUCUUUCCAGAUAUAUAGAUUGCCAGUUUUGAAUCCGAUUCUCAAAUAGACAAUCAUAAUUCUAUUGCCAGUUCUGAAAUAAAGAAAUGUUUGCGUAAUAGUACCAUAAUAGCACCAAAACGAAUCCUCAUCCUUGGUAACUUACUGGCUUUGAUCUUCCAGGGAAGCAUUAUGAGAUCCUUGGUUUACUUAUAGGUAGGCCAUCAGCUCAAACCUAACACAGAAACUCCUUGCUUGGCAUUUGAGCUCUUGUUUUCUCAAAACUGAUACUAGUAAAUGUUAUUUCACUAUGUAUUCUUUCCUCAGUCCAUAGAGAAAUGUGGGAGUAGUUCGAUGUGUGUUGGAAAGAUAGUUUUGUUUUAUAUAUCAUAAGAAGAAAAGAUCGUGUUUCCUAAGGGGAAAAUCAAAAACAUUAUUAGCAACUCACUAUGUAUUCUACCAUCAAUUCUAUGUGUAUUAGGGAGAGGGUUCGGUGUAUCAUUGUUUUCACUUUCCCAGAAAAAAAUGUUCUAUUGCAGAUUAGUAACUUUGUAUUUACAUUUUUUUAAAACAAAGAACUAAUAAGUUCAUAUAAGUUCAAAAGACAAAGCGUUGAAAGUUCAAUCAAAAGCUCUCACCACUUUCUUUUUAUUUUUUAAUUAUUGUAGGACAUUUGAAACACUGAGCAAAAGGGAUUAGGAUAAAUUGCAGAAGUAGUUGUAGGAUGCUUAAGUUCUUUUGACUUUCCUUUCUCUCAUUCUUCAUGUACCGACAAGUUGUUUCAUUUUUCUGGUUUCAAAAAAGUAGAAGGGGAAGAUGUAGAGGGUGGACUACACUGGGCCUUUGCUGCUGGAAUCGUGGCGUAUUCAUGAGCUCAUGUAGAGCUACCGAUCCAGCAAGCCGCCCAUGUCGAUGAAAUGCAUGCUAACUAAUUCCCUUGAAAAAAAAGGGGAUGGGGCGCUGCGACGGUGAACUUUUUUUUUUUUGACCUGUCUGCGACGGUGAACUGAUACAGGGAGAUGCACACCAAACCCGUUGCCCCAUCCCUAGCCAUCGUGAGGUAUACCCUGCUCAGUGGCUCCUGAACCAGAAAAACAAACCGGCCCAGCCCGCACCCCCACCACUCUGUCCUCUCUCCCUCGUUCCUAAUCUCUCCAACCGCACACGCCACCCGCCGCCAGCCCCUACUCUCCGGCAACCCGCCUCCCCCCGCCACCCACCUCCGGCGACGCGCCACGCCCAGCACCUCCCACCACCGGCGACGCGCCGCGACCACCGCACCCUGCCUCCUCCCUCAUGCCGCACGCUGCCCCUGAACCCUACCUCCUCUCUCGCGCCACCCCCACUGCCCCCCGAGCGUGGCUGCCCCUCCACGGAUCCAAGCUCGUACGCCGCCGCCCCUCCCACCAUGCCAAGCUCGCACGCCACCGCCGCCGGCGCCCCCAACUGGCCGCCCCUCGUCAGUUCGUGUGUUCCAUCCGCACCAAAAAUCACCGUCCCUAGCUUCCCAUGGAUCCCUGCGCGCCGCCGCCCACCAGAAGGAAGCUCUCGUGCUCCCCGACGCCGCUUUCCUUAAGCAUUUGUGCGCUCCAAAAGUCAACGCGACACAGUUGCUUCCUCCGGCAACACCUCCUACCGGCGCCAGCGGUUCUGAGGUUACCUUGUUAGUAGUUCAACUUUGCUAAAUUCUGUAGUUAACCAUUGCUAAAAAUCAUCUUAGAAAUUAUCUCGUUUAAAUAGUUCACCUUUUCUAAAAACUGUAGUUCUCUGGUUAGAAAAACAAUAGUUAUCUCUGCAAAAAAGUAUGACAAUCUUUUGGUAAAGUCUCAAUCUCUUCUCAGUUUUAGUGUACGCUCGCUGGCGAUGCGUCCAGCAUGCUUGCGGUGAUAGCGCCAUAGUGGCCACCACUAAUGGCAUUGGCGGCCAGCAUGCUUGCACAAAAAAUAGCUAGCUAGGUGUUCAGGAUCUUCUAUUUUAUCCCCCGAAACAGGGUGCUCAGGACGUCUAUUUUGUUCUCUGAAACACUAGCUAGGUGUUCCCAGUUCAGUACGUGGACUAUCAUCAUCUCUAGUUGCUGCUUCCUGCCACCAACGAAUUGCGCAAGUUCAAAGAGUGUCGCAUGACAAAUUCAAAAGGUGUUGUAUGGCAAGUUCAGAAUUUUGGUUUCGUGAAAAGUGUGAUUUUGGACAAUAUUUUGUGCGAUUCAAUUGUUCAUCUUCAGAACUUGGAGAUGUUAAGUCUACUUUUUUCUAUGAUGAAGGUACACAUGAGAUCCAUCUGCAAUGGUUAUCGGCCCUAGUGCUUCAAAGAUGCUUAUUUUGUUUCCCCCGUGACGCAGCGAGGAUGAUAGUGACGACACUUACAAAAUUGUUUUCUGUGUUGCUAUGUUAUCAGUCCAAAGUGUGGUGAAGAUGUAGUCCUGGGUGUGUAGAUGAUGUGGUGUGUGUCUGGUUGUGUAUGUGCAUGAUGAUUGGUGGCUGUUGUGUGUGUGUGCAGGGUACCCCGCGACAGCGGGUAGGCGACAAGUGUACUGGUGACCAGCUACCCAGAAAAUGCUGGAACAGGGCUUCCAAAGUAAGCUCCUUGCUUCUUGCUUCUCUUUAAAUCUCUUGAGCUUUACAUGGUAUGUUCAAGACAAGUCCUCUAGUGGUUGUAUUGUAUGACGUUCGUUUAAAUGAUCGACUAUACUGACACCACAUACGUGGAAACUCAAAAUGAAAAUAAAAGGUGUUAAUGGAGAAAUAUAAGAACAAAAACAGGUAUGUGUAGCCAUCUAGCAACAUGGUGAUCAAACAAAAUCCCGACAGCCAACCUCCAUGGUGAUCAAUUCCAUGUGCUUAUGGGUAUGCUUGCUUAGCACAAAAUUCAUAAACUGUCAAUUUAUUUUGAAUUGAACUGAUGCUGCUCUUGAUUCAGACAUGAGGGAGAAGACGGAACUAGAAUGAUUCAGUUCAUCAUUGGCACCCCUGUAAACCAAACAAUGAAGAACACAACCAUUGUACUUUUGCUCUUGUUCUUUCUAUCUCCUGAAUUCCAUGCUUUCUGUGAUGAGCAUGCUUGGUACUAUAUAGAUACUGAUGUUGUAGUUCUAAUACAAUAUAUUAGAAGAAUUCAUUGACAAAAAAGGUGUCAGUUCAUAUAUGCAUGCAACAGCUAUUCUGAUACUACUUUAUUAACCAGAAAAACACAAAAGUUCAACUAUACUUAUGCAAAAUAGUUCAGUAUUUUAUUCUAUGACAGUCAAGAAAAACAGAAAAAAGAGGUUCAUCGUGUGAUGAGCAAUAGUCCCAACAACUGUGCUAGAGAUGCAAAAAAUUGAUAGCAUAGCCGAUGCCAUUUUUCAUCCAAUUUCUGAAGAAAACUAAAGUUGAUCAGAGUAACUAAAGAAUGAUCUGUUAGUUCUUGAGUAUGUGUAAUGCUGCCAUUUUACUGUGCAUUUGAUUCCAUCGUGAUGGAUGUAUUACAAAGAUAUGGCUGUAUUACUAUGUUGAAUAAAAAUACCAUUUUGCUGCAACAUCUUCUCAGCUCCUGUCAAGUUAUACAUGUAUGUGAGGAUCCUUCUAUGUAGUAAGUUCAUAGUCGAGAAGUCAGGGACUUCGUAAAUAACGUGAACACCAAAAAACCAUUAAAAAACCUAAACCAUAUGUUAGGGGAGUUCAAGAAGUUCAUGGCUAGCUAUCCGUGUUCUGUAUUCUUAUCAGUUCAUAAUCGAGAAGACAUGUAUUCUUAUCAGUUUGUUUAUCUAGCCCGUCGUGCUGUGUAUUCUGGUCAGUUCGUGUGUGUAUGUGUUGCCCUCGCAGUGUAUGAGAGGCCGCCCGUGAGGAAGUCGCCGAUCUGGUCGAGGCAUGCUGCUAUUCUCUAUAUCCGGCAGCACAAACAUUUAAAAGUUGAAGUUAAAAGAAGAUGGAGAUGUGUGUUUUGGAGAGGGAAGAACUUAUCUAGUGGAGUGCGUGUGUGUGCUGCUGCAUCCUCGUCCGGCAGCUCUAAUCCACACUCUUAGUACAACUUCUCUAUGAUCUCAUGUUCACAAAUCUUGUAGUACAUUUUUUAAUAAAAAUCUUCUAGUACUAUGUAAAGCAAGCGUGGCGAACACAUACUUCAGGUGUCGCGGUAGUACGCACUGUUGAUGGUGGCCUUCCUUUGUGGCGCUACAACUUUGCCACCUAGAGUAGUACUGCUACUACUUAUCAUGUUGCUAAAACCUAGUGAAAGUACAUGUAUUUGAUUAACGGUUCUGUAGGAAGAAAACUUUCACCAAUAUAUAAUCUCUAGGUUUAGUAAAGCAAUCUUUUUGUUUAGUAGCUGAUACUGCUCAAGUUUAUUUCUUGUUGUACAUAUGAUGUCCAAUUUCUUCUUUCAGUUCGGUUCAAUUUAUAAAUUUCAUUCAGUUCAAUUCUUAUUGUAGUUGGAGUUUAGUUUCUUUUCUGAGUUCAAUUCAGGCAUGUGUUUGAACUUGCAACCUCACUGCCUUAAGCUACGAUCUCAAAUAGAAGUAUACUAAAUGCAGGUACUAGGUGGUGGCAUUGCUUCACUUCUCUUGUUACGUUCUCUUCGCCCAAAUUCAGAGGAUCAAGAAAAUAAAAUAUCAUUCUUUUGACAUGCACUACUCAAAAGAAGGCAUUUCUGUUGAAAAAUUGUUUCGCUUGACAUGUACUUGCCAACAAUUAUGUAUAAUAAAUCAUGGCAUUGUAUGUAGAAAAAGAUAUAUUGUGUGUUCUGCUAUUGUAUUGAGUUGCUAUCUAUUCCUAAUUGUAUGAUGUUGUUAUUGCUCU